CCUAAGGUAGCGAAAUUCCUUGUCGGGUAAGUUCCGACCUGCACGAAUGGCGUAAUGAUGGCCAGGCUGUCUCCACCCGAGACUCAGUGAAAUUGAACUCGCUGUGAAGAUGCAGUGUACCCGCGGCAAGACGGAAAGACCCCGUGAACCUUUACUAUAGCUUGACACUGAACAUUGAGCCUUGAUGUGUAGGAUAGGUGGGAGGCUUUGAAGUGUGGACGCCAGUCUGCAUGGAGCCGACCUUGAAAUACCACCCUUUAAUGUUUGAUGUUCUAACGUUGACCCGUAAUCCGGGUUGCGGACAGUGUCUGGUGGGUAGUUUGACUGGGGCGGUCUCCUCCUAAAGAGUAACGGAGGAGCACGAAGGUUGGCUAAUCCUGGUCGGACAUCAGGAGGUUAGUGCAAUGGCAUAAGCCAGCUUGACUGCGAGCGUGACGGCGCGAGCAGGUGCGAAAGCAGGUCAUAGUGAUCCGGUGGUUCUGAAUGGAAGGGCCAUCGCUCAACGGAUAAAAGGUACUCCGGGGAUAACAGGCUGAUACCGCCCAAGAGUUCAUAUCGACGGCGGUGUUUGGCACCUCGAUGUCGGCUCAUCACAUCCUGGGGCUGAAGUAGGUCCCAAGGGUAUGGCUGUUCGCCAUUUAAAGUGGUACGCGAGCUGGGUUUAGAACGUCGUGAGACAGUUCGGUCCCUAUCUGCCGUGGGCGCUGGAGAACUGAGGGGGGCUGCUCCUAGUACGAGAGGACCGGAGUGGACGCAUCACUGGUGUUCGGGUUGUCAUGCCAAUGGCACUGCCCGGUAGCUAAAUGCGGAAGAGAUAAGUGCUGAAAGCAUCUAAGCACGAAACUUGCCCCGAGAUGAGUUCUCCCUGACUCCUUGAGAGUCCUGAAGGAACGUUGAAGACGACGACGUUGAUAGGCCGG
rnacentral:rRNA from 1 species